CCUUCGUACCAAAAACAACCCUUGCCUUAUUGGAGAACCUAGUGUUGGGAAGACAGCUAUUGCUGAAGGUCUUGCCCAGAGUAUUGCAAAUGGGGAUGUUCCUGAAACCACGGAGGGAAAGAAGGUUAUAACCCUUGAUAUGGGACUGCUUGUAGCUGGAACUAAAUAUCGUGGAGAAUUUGAAGAGAGG